rnacentral:rRNA from 1 species
UACGGGGGGGGUAAGCGUUGUUCGGAAUUACUGGGCGUAAAGGGCUCGUAGGCGGCCAACUAAGUCGGACGUGAAAUCCCUCAGCUUAACUGGGGAACUGCGUCCGAUACUGGAUGGCUUGGAUUUGGGAGAGGGAUGCGGAAUUCCAGGUGUAGCGGUGAAAUGCGUAGAUAUCUGGAGGAACACCGGUGGCGAAGGCGGCGUCCUGGACCAAUACUGACACUGAGGAGCGAAAGCCAGGGGAGCAAACGAG